rnacentral:rRNA from 1 species
CCGGGCGACAUUACGCAGGGGGUCCCACCUGACCCCAUGCCGAACUCAGAAGUGAAACGCCGUAGCGCCGAUGGUAGUGUGGGGUCUCCCCAUGCGAGAGUAGGGAACUGCCAGGC